CGUGCUGACUUCCGCUUCCGGAUGGUACUUCCCGGGCUCUUGCUGUUGAAGCUCCGCGGUCGUCAUGGAGUUGUCGGGCGAGUACAUCGGGCUGGAUGGGCAGCAGCAGCUGCUGCGGGUGCCCUGUGAGGCGCCGGGCGACGCGGACCCUUUCCAGGGCCUGUUGGCUGGUGUGGCCCAGAUGAGAGAGUUGGUGAUCGAGCUCUUCGGCCCCCUGGUACAGCAGGAAGCGCAAGACCAGGAGGCGGCGGCUCCAGAAGAGGCCAUGGACGGUGAGCCCUGAGAAGGUGAUGAUGAAGAUGAUGCAGAAGAUGAAAAUAACGCUGGUAACAGAUCUAACUCAGAUGGACCAUCUGCAAAACGGCCCAAACCACCAUCUUAACAAUAGCUUUUAUGAAAUUUUAAAGGCUGCUACUAUAUCUGAAUUACCACACAGUGACAUUUAGGAAAGACUUGCGCUCUAAUUUGGAAAAGCAUUUGUUUUAUUCCCCUAGGACAACCUUGUCAAAGAAAAAAACGUUUCUUCUGUUUCCAGCAAAGAAAGAUACAAUAAAUGUUUAGAAAUGAAUCUGUUUUCUUGAAUGAGAAAUAAAUUUCAGACCAUGGAAAUAAAAUAGAACACUUAAUGAUGUAUAAAAUCCUCUAAGUUGGCAACUGAAUUUUUAUUGUUUUCUACUUUUUAAAUAACCAUUGAAUGAAAUUGUGUGAUGUCUACAUCUUUUGGCUUCUGCUUGUUAUAAAAAAUACCUGUCAGUUCUUGGACAAUAACAUUCGAAAGAACCAUGUGAUAUGAGCAAGUGGUGAAAAUUGGAUAUUAAAUUUAAGAAUGGCAAUUCUGGGUAAGAAGAAGGAAAACGGGAAGAGAAGUACUGAAGGAGUGAGAUGAGCUCUUGAGAGAGACCCAAGGAAACCUAGAAUCCCCACUCGCACCCAAUAUUCAGACCUCCAGAGAUGAUACCAUUCAACAAAUAUAUAUUUAACUUGUACCUGAAGAGAGCAAAGUUGGGUGUGAUUUUAUGCUGUAACAUGUUAUGUAUAUAAACACACAUGUAAGUCUUUAACUUAAACAAUCUGUGUUGACUGUAACUUAAGGUAUUUCUCAUCCUGUAUCCAUGCUUUGAUUUUGCUUACCGAAGUAGGAUUGAAUCCUUUAAAAUACAUAUAUAUU